rnacentral:rRNA from 1 species
GACGAACGCUGGCGGCGUGCUUAACACAUGCAAGUCGAACGGAAAGGCGCUGCCUUUGUGGGGUGCUCGAGUGGCGAACGGGUGAGUAACACGUGAGUAACCUGCCCUUGACUUUGGGAUAACUUCAGGAAACUGGGGCGAAUACCGGAUAGGAGCUCCUGCUGCAUGGUGGGGGUUGGAAAGUUUCGGCGGUUGGGGAUGGACUCGGGGGUUAUCAGCUUGUUGGGGGGGUAGUGGCUUACCAAGGCUUUGACGGGUAGCCGGCCUGAGAGGGUGACCGGCCACAUUGGGACUGAGAUACGGCCCAGACUCCUACGGGAGGCAGCAGUGGGGAAUAUUGCGCAAUGGGCGGAAGCCUGAUGCGGCAACGCCGCGUGCGGGAUGAAGGCCUUCGGGUUGUGAACCGCUUUCGCCUGUGACGAAGCGUGAGUGACGGUAAUGGGUAAAGAAGCACCGGCUAACUACGUG